rnacentral:tRNA from 1 species
UUUGGUGUGGCAUGGUCAGGUAAAUGCAAAAGAUCUAAAACCUUUAAUCAAACGUUCAAAUCGUUUCACCAAUA